AAGGUUACCAGCCAUUGGAAAGUCAAGAGCAAUGGAAAUGGUUUUGACAAGAACACCAAUUACUGCACAAGAAGCUAAACAUUGGGGUUUGGUUAGUCGCAUCUUCCCAGCGGACAAAGUUGUUGACGAAGCAAUCAAACUCGGAGAAAAGAUCAGUUCACAUUCUAAGUUAGUUGCUAUGAUGGCAAAAGAUUUUGUAUUCGUAAGAUCGCUUGUUUAUCAAUACUUGUUUUUACGUUAAAUUAAAUGAUAUUUACAAUGAAGGUAAUAUUAUUUAUGAAUAAUAUCAUUGAGUUACAUUUAACUUUCCAUUUUUUUGUUUAAA